UGGCCACGUUGUGGACAUGAAUUUAUGAGAUCCUUAAAUCGCUCCCAGCAUUAGAAGGUCUCAUCUUCUUUUUGCGUAAAAUUCAUGAUUGCUUUCCUUAAGGUA